UGAGAAUGACGGAUCCGCUAUUUAUAGAACUCCAAACUUUUUCCUACAAGAAAAAGCACUAGUCAAAAAUAGGGAAUUUAUAAUUAUUUUACAAGAAGAAAAACUCAAUUAAAAUAAUUAUAUUGCUCUUUCCUUUAACAAAUAGAAAAAUCAAAUAAGAUAAGAAAAUUAUGACAAAUAGCUAGCGAUUAAAUAUUUCUAUAUACCAACAAGAAGAUUCUUUUCUUUAGGAUUUACACAAAAAUGUAAGUGAAAAGACAAUGUGAACACAAUAAGGCCGAUAUCACAUCGAAUAUGUCAAUAGUACUUCAUACAUAGCUCUAAUAAUGGAGAUAAAGCUAAGCAAUGGCAUAACAUGGUAAAUUCCUCAAAUACUAGGGGCUAUUACCAGUCACUCAACUAUAUAUAGUAUACUCACGGGGACCAUUUGCUUCACUCCCAACAAGCAAAAGCAAACAGAGAGCCUAGCAACUGGAGUAGUCAGUUACCACCAACGCUGCCAGAGAAACCGCCGGCGAUCCAGUGAUCAAUACCAGUAAAAACCAACCGGAGAAUUUCAAAGAUGGCCGGAGCAAGAAAAGAGAUAAUGAUGAACGGAGAAAACAUGAUGUCGAGAAGGGUAGAAUAUGGGAGACCAAUUCCAAAGAGAGGGCAAGUGAAGGUGACCAUAGUGUUGGGAUUAGCUCACUCUUUGUCUUCUAUUUUCUCCACCGGUGGCCGUUCUUAGCUAAUAGCCGGAGAACAACCCAUCUCCCCUGAGCGAGUGAAGAGAGAAUACCCAGUUUUGGUAAAUUUUAGGGAGUGUUGGAGGGUAUUAUUGUCCUUUCCUCAUUAGGACCUAGAGCUUGGUCUUUGUCUGUAGUUUGUACAUGGUUUGUGAUUCCGGCUCCUAUUGUACAGUUCUGGAAAUUGGAAGUUAAUUUUCAAUCCUCUUCCUGAGCUAAACUAUGCUAUUUUCUGUUCUCGCUGAUUUCCCAAUUGCCAGUAUUGAAUUUCUGAAAUAUCGAAACUUCUCAAAGACGCCAAUUCCCCUAAAAUUGAGCAAAUUCCUCAUAUCCGUUACUCUAACUUAGUAUAAUUCUUUAGUAAAUUCACUUAUUUUAUUUUUGUAUCAUCAAAUCGUAAGACUUACAAAAAAAUUCUGACUCAGUACGUUUAAACCCACCCGUUAUGAGUCAAUACCAAAACAAAAUUGUUCCCAAACAAUUCAUAAGUAGCAGAUACUGAAUUGUGCGCAGACGGACUCGAACCAAGAUAAUUUUAUUUUUGCUAGCAGAAUUAAAAAUUGUACAAGUGAUCGGACGCAUUAAUUCACAGACUUAGAUCAUUUUCGACUAGCUGAAUUAGAUGAUAUAUGCUGGCAGUUUUACAUAAUUAGUAUUCAGAAAACACUUACUUUGCUGCCACACUGCAGGCAAUUUUACAUUUAUCAGCAUUUUUGUCAUUAAAACAAAAUAGCCACUGGUAUACCAUAUUAUAAACGUCACAUUUAUUCAGGUUUCGACAAUUUUAAAAGCCAGAGCUAUGUAUGGAUAAUGAAUCUAAAAAUGUUAGGCUAGCGAAAGACAUUAUGAGUAAUGCACGUGUUACUUACUAUCUCAAGUUGCAGC
rnacentral:lncRNA from 1 species